GAUGAACGCUGGCGGCGUGCUUAACACAUGCCAGUCGAACGGAAAGGCCCUGCUCUUGCGGGGUGCUCGAUUGGCGAACGGGUGUGUAACACGUGAGUAACCUGCACCUGACUUUGGGGUAACUCUAGGAAACUGGGGCUAAUACCGGGUAGGAGCUCCUGCUGCAUGGUGGUGGUUGGAAAGUUUCGGCGGUUUGGGAUGGACUCGAGGGUUAUCCGCUUGUUGGUGGGGUAGUGGCUUACCAAGGCUUUGACGGGUAGCCGGCCUGAGAGGGUGAACGGGGACAAUGCGCCUGAGGUACGCCGCAGACUGCUACGGGACGCAGCAGUGGGGAACAUUGCACAGUGGGGGGAAGCCAGAUACAGCAACGCCGCGUGCGGGAUGACGGCUUUCGGGUUGUAAACCGCUUUCGACUGUGACGAGGCGUGCGUGACGGUAAUGGGUAAAGAAGCACCGGCUAACUACGUG
rnacentral:rRNA from 1 species